rnacentral:sRNA from 1 species
CCACAAGCAGUUGCCCUUUCAGUUCAGUAAAAUUUUAAGACAAAUAUUAAGGUGAAGAACAUAAUAAAUUUUGAAAAUUUCGCGCCAUAGUGAAGACAAAACCCGCGAUCGUAACAGUCGGUCAUACUGCGCGAGUUAUCGGUACUAGCCCACCACUAGCGUACUGCUCCGGCCGGAGGAAAAGCGACACAAAACAUAGCACCCGCCAGAGCCAGCGAUACGCCAGUCGCUCAUUAGAUAAUAGCCGUUGACCAGGUUGCGCCGGGAAUCCGCUGGAGUUCCGCUGGCCACAUCCAGGACCCAAGCAGGCGGCGCAGGAAUCGGAGUCAGAGUCGGAAUCGGAUACGAGACGGAGCAGCACUACUAUCACACCCACUCAUUUAUUUGGAAUAAUCUCGAUUUGGCACCAACUGGAGCAAAAUUUUGCGUAUCUUUUUUUUAUCCAAAAUUGUCGGUGUCUGCGCUUCUAAAGGCACGGACGUUGUGUGGAACAAUUCAAUUAUAAUCUUAGGAAAAGCAACCAAUUCUUCAGCAGUCGAUGCGUGGCCCCAGCGUUGAACUAGGACCGGAUAUCGAGCUAGCAACUAGGAGCAGAGUGAGCUGCCAGGGGCGAUGGCCGAGCCAUAUCAGCUACGAACUCAGAUGGCAACACAGUAUCGUCGUCCACGACCAGGACACCCAGUGCAGUAUCCCCACCAAGGCGUAGUCUAUGCAAAUGGAGGCAGUGCUUCCUGGAACGAGUCACGCCAGCAGCAACAGCAACAACAAUUGCAAUUUCAACAACAACAACAACAAUUAGAACAACAGCAGAGGUACUCGUAC